rnacentral:lncRNA from 1 species
UUUCUUCCUUGUUUCUUCCCGAACCUUCCUUUCCUUCUCUCUUUUCCUUUCUUUCUUCUCUUCUCCUCCCUUUCUUCUCUUCUCCCGAUCUCUCUUUUCCUUCCCUCUCUUCUUUUCUUUCUUCUCUUCUUCCGAUCCCUCUUUUCCUUCCCCCCUUUCUUCUCCCGCGAAAGGAGGAAGGCGAGCUCGGGAUGAGGGUGACGGAGUUCUCGGGAGGCUAGCCGAGGCCGGCGGC